AUGCUCCCAAACUCUCAAAGUCCGAACCGGUAAGAAAAGAAAAAAAACCUCACCACGCACCACUUCCCUAACCGCCCGACUCCUUUCCCUCAAUGCAUCGCUGCCAACCCUCCACUUCCAACCAGCCGCCGGCCCUCUCUCCACCUGCUUCCACCACCGUGCACCCAACCGACGCCGCCGCCCUCACCCCGCUCCAAUCUCGCGUGACGCCACAACCCCAUCCACAACCGUUGUCGCCUCCUCCUCCAAUUUUUCCAACCGGCAUCGCAGCCUCCGCCCCGGCCCCAACCGCCGUCGUCGN
rnacentral:lncRNA from 1 species